rnacentral:lncRNA from 1 species
GGAGACUGAAGUUUUCUGUAAGGUUUACAAGGCAAAAAAAGAUUUAAGAGUGGAAAAGGAGGUUUUCCAGAGCAUGCUGGUAGUUUUUAUAAUAUCUAAUUAGCUGACAUCUUAUUUUUUGUUUGCUGUCAUUUGGAUUUGGCAACUGUAGUGUACAGAACAGGCCACACUGAGUAUAGCCUGUUUCCCCCUUUGUUUGAGGUGACCAACUUAUCUCCACCUGGCAACCACCUCCACAGCCUGCUGCUUCUGGAGCUUUCCAAUAGUGCCCGGGGGGCUGGCAGCCAGUGGCUCCUGUCAGCUGUUGCCUGAUUGGUGGGAUCUCUCUUGUUAACUGUUUCUCCAUAGGCCACCUGGUAAUGUCCUGGGGCUGAGGGAGGUGGGGGCAGCUGUGUGGCUGUGGUGGGGACUGCUUUGGCUGCUGUGUGCAGGUAGAGCCCCUGUGGUAAUGGGAGCAGGGGCCUGAGUGUUUUGUGGGGCUGGGAGGAUGCGGAAAAUCCACUCCAGUGUGGUCACCUGCAGCAAGUGUGGUGAUGUGCUGCAAGGCUCGAUCUGUGUGCAGAGCUGCCGUCUUGGCUUCAGCUGUGUCACUUCUCUGCAGUAAGAACCAGGUGACCUCUUGUUGCAGAGCUCAUCUUGAACGGAGCUUUCCUGUCCCUGACUGCACUGAUCUGAAUGCUUAUCCUGGGCAGCAGACUUCCACACCCAUUUAAAUGUCAUGCAUGAUUUCGUUUACUCAGUCUGCGAAGAUAAAAUAUUUGAGAUUUUAGCAAGCAUGGGUAUGUAGUGCACAAUUUCGUGUUUUGUUUUGUUUAUUACUAUUUACCCUCCAUUUUUCUCCCUUUCCCCUUUCCCUCACAACCAGAUUUUGUUAUAUGGAAAGCCUAGAUCAGUUUUUCAGCUGGUAGAGUAAGAUUGUGCUUACAAGGCCAUGACAAAUUGGCUGUGUUUAUUUUUCUCCCCCCUGUGAACUCAUGGUGUGUCUAAGGAGUGGAUUGCUUUUUUGAGCUGACCUGUUCGGAAACAUUGCAAGUGAGGGGGGUGAUCACCUCACAUGGUUAAAGAUCUGAGCAAGUUAAGAAUAAAUUAAAACAAUGUCUUAAAAAGGCUCA